UGCAGUCGACGAGCUUCCGUUGAAUGACGUGCUUGCACUGAUUUCAACAAUGAAGCGAGUGGCGAACUGGUGAGUAACACGUGGGGAAUCUGCCCAGAAGCAGGGGAUAACACUUGGAAACAGGUGCUAAUACCGUAUAACAACAAAAUCCGCAUGGAUUUUGUUUGAAAGGUGGCUUCGGCUAUCACUUCUGGAUGAUCCCGCGGCGUAUUAGUUAGUUGGUGAGGUAAAGGCCCACCAAGACGAUGAUACGUAGCCGACCUGAGAGGGUAAUCGGCCACAUUGGGACUGAGACACGGCCCAAACUCCUACGGGAGGCAGCAGUAGGGAAUCUUCCACAAUGGACGAAAGUCUGAUGGAGCAAUGCCGCGUGAGUGAAGAAGGGUUUCGGCUCGUAAAACUCUGUUGUUAAAGAAGAACACCUUUGAGAGUAACUGUUCAAGGGUUGACGGUAUUUAACCAGAAAGCCACGGCUAACUACGUGCCAGCAGCCGCGGUAAUACGUAGGUGGCAAGCGUUGUCCGGAUUUAUUGGGCGUAAAGCGAGCGCAGGCGGUUUUUUAAGUCUGAUGUGAAAGCCUUCGGCUUAACCGGAGAAGUGCAUCGGAAACUGGGAGACUUGAGUGCAGAAGAGGACAGUGGAACUCCAUGUGUAGCGGUGGAAUGCGUAGAUAUAUGGAAGAACACCAGUGGCGAAGGCGGCUGUCUAGUCUGUAACUGACGCUGAGGCUCGAAAGCAUGGGUAGCGAACAGGAUUAGAUACCCUGCUAGUCCAUGCCGUAAACGAUGAGUGCUAAGUGUUGCAGGGUUUCCGCCCUUCAGUGCUGCAGCUAACGCAUUAAGCACUCCGCCUGGGGAGUACGACCGCAAGGUUGAAACUCAA
rnacentral:rRNA from 2 species